rnacentral:rRNA from 1 species
AGUUUGAUCAUGGCUCAGAUUGAACGCUGGCGGGAUGCUUUACAUGCAAGUCGAACGGCAGCACGGACUUCGGUCUGGUGGCGAGUGGCGAACGGGUGAGUAAUGUAUCGGAACGUGCCUAGUAGCGGGGGAUAACUACGCGAAAGCGUAGCUAAUACCGCAUACGCCCUUCGGGGGAAAGCGGGGGACCUUCGGGCCUCGCACUAUUAGAGCGGCCGAUAUCGGAUUAGCUGGUUGGUGGGGUAACGGCUCACCAGGCGACGAUCCGUAGCUGGUUUGAGAGGACACGACCAGCCACACCUGGGACUGAGACACGGCCCAGACUCCUGCAGGAGGCAGCAGUGGGGAAUUUUGGACAAUGGGAAACCUGAUCCAGCCAUCGCGUGUGCGAUGAAGGCCUUCGGGUUGUAAAAGCACUUUUGGCAGGAAAGAAACGGCACGGGAUAAUACCCCUGCAGCUGACGGUACCUGCAGAAUAAGCACCGGCUAACUACGUGCCAGCAGCCGCGGUAAUACGUAGGGUGCAAGCGUUAAUCGGAAUUACUGGGCGUAAAGCGUGCGCAGGCGGUUCGGAAAGAAAGAUGUGAAAUCCCAGAGCUUAACUUUGGAACUGCAUUUUUAACUACCGAGAGCUAGAGUGUGUCAGAGGGAGGUGGAAUUCCGCGUGUAGCAGUGAAAUGCGUAGAUAUGCGGAGGAACACCGAUGGCGAAGGCGGCCUCCGCAGGAUAACUUACUGACGCUCAUGCACAACGUGGGAGCAAACAGGAUUAAGAUACCCUGGUAGUCCACGCCCUAAACGAUGUCAACUAGCUGUUGGGGCCUUCGGGCCUUGGUAGCGCAGCCUAACGCGUGAAGUUGACCGCCUGGGGAGUACGGUCGCAAGAUUAAAACUCAAAGGAAUUGACGGGGACCCGCACAAGCGGUGGAUGAUGUGGAUUAAUUCGAUGCAACGCGAAAAACCUUACCUACCCUUGACAUGUCUGGAAUCCCGAAGAGAUUUGGGAGUGCUCGCAAGAGAACCGGAACACAGGUGCUGCAUGGCUGUGUCGUCAGCUCGUGUCGUGAGAUGUUGGGUUAAGUCCGCAACGAGCGCAACCCUUGUCAUUAGUUGCUACGAAAGGGCACUCUAAUGAGACUGCCGGUGACAAACCGGAGGAAGGUGGGGAUGACGUCAAGUCCUCAUGGCCCUUAUGGGUAGGGCUUCACCCGUCGCAAUGGUCGGGACAGAGGGUCGCCAACCCUGAGGGGAGCCAAUCCCAGAAACCCGAUCGUAGUCCGGAUCGCAGUCUGCAACUCGACUGCGUGAAGUCGGAAUCGCUAGUAAUCGCGGAUCAGCAUGUCGCGGUGAAUACGUUCCCGGGUCUUGUACACACCGCCCGUCACACCAUGGGAGUGGGUUUUACCGAAGUAGUUAGCCUAACCGUAAGGAGGGCGAUUACCACGGUAGGAUUCAUGACUGGGGUGAAGUCGUAACAGGUAG